GUUAUAUGGUCAAGUGAAGAAGCGCAUACGGUGGAUGCCUUGGCAGUCAGAGGCGAUGAAAGACGUGGUAGCCUGCGAAAAGCUUCGGGGAGUCGGCAAACAGACUUUGAUCCGGAGAUGUCUGAAUGGGGGAACCCAGCCAUCAUAAGAUGGUUACCUUACACUGAAUACAUAGGUGUAUGGAGCGAACCAGGGGAACUGAAACAUCUAAGUACCCUGAGGAAAAGAAAUCAACCGAGAUUCCCUUAGUAGUGGCGAGCGAACGGGGACUAGCCCUUAAGUGGCUUUGAGAUUAGCGGAACGCUCUGGAAAGUGCGGCCAUAGUGGGUGAUAGCCCUGUACGCGAAAAUCUCUUAGUCAUGAAAUCGAGUAGGACGGAGCACGAGAAACUUUGUCUGAAUAUGGGGGGACCAUCCUCCAAGGCUAAAUACUACUGACUGACCGAUAGUGAACUAGUACCGUGAGGGAAAGGCGAAAAGAACCCGGAGAGGGGAGUGAAAUAGAUCCUGAAACCGUAUGCGUACAAGCAGUGGGAGCAGACUUUGUUCUGUGACUGCGUACCUUUUGUAUAAUGGGUCAGCGACUUAUUUUCAGUGGCGAGCUUAACCGAAUAGGGGAGGCGUAGCGAAAGCGAGUCUUAAUAGGGCGUCUAGUCGCUGGGAAUAGACCCGAAACCGGGCGAUCUAUCCAUGGGCAGGUUGAAGGUUGGGUAACACUAACUGGAGGACCGAACCGACUACCGUUGAAAAGUUAGCGGAUGACCUGUGGAUCGGAGUGAAAGGCUAAUCAAGCUCGGAGAUAGCUGGUUCUCCUCGAAAGCUAUUUAGGUAGCGCCUCAUGUAUCACUGUAGGGGGUAGAGCACUGUUUCGGCUAGGGGGUCAUCCCGACUUACCAAACCGAUGCAAACUCCGAAUACCUACAAGUGCCGAGCAUGGGAGACACACGGCGGGUGCUAACGUCCGUCGUGAAAAGGGAAACAACCCAGACCGUCAGCUAAGGUCCCAAAGUUAUGGUUAAGUGGGAAACGAUGUGGGAAGGCUUAGACAGCUAGGAGGUUGGCUUAGAAGCAGCCACCCUUUAAAGAAAGCGUAAUAGCUCACUAGUCGAGUCGGCCUGCGCGGAAGAUGUAACGGGGCUCAAACCAUACACCGAAGCUACGGGUAUCAUCUUCGGAUGAUGCGGUAGAGGAGCGUUCUGUAAGCCUGUGAAGGUGAGUUGAGAAGCUUGCUGGAGGUAUCAGAAGUGCGAAUGCUGACAUGAGUAACGAUAAUGGGUGUGAAAAACACCCACGCCGAAAGACCAAGGUUUCCUGCGCAACGUUAAUCGACGCAGGGUUAGUCGGUCCCUAAGGCGAGGCUGAAAAGCGUAGUCGAUGGAAAACAGGUUAAUAUUCCUGUACUUCUGGUUAUUGCGAUGGAGGGACGGAGAAGGCUAGGCCAGCUUGGCGUUGGUUGUCCAAGUUUAAGGUGGUAGGCUGGAAUCUUAGGUAAAUCCGGGAUUCUAAGGCCGAGAGCUGAUGACGAGUUAUCUUUUAGAUGACGAAGUGGUUGAUGCCAUGCUUCCAAGAAAAGCUUCUAAGCUUCAGGUAACCAGGAACCGUACCCCAAACCGACACAGGUGGUUGGGUAGAGAAUACCAAGGCGCUUGAGAGAACUCGGGUGAAGGAACUAGGCAAAAUGGCACCGUAACUUCGGGAGAAGGUGCGCCGGUGAGGGUGAAGGACUUGCUCCGUAAGCUCAUGCCGGUCGAAGAUACCAGGCCGCUGCGACUGUUUAUUAAAAACACAGCACUCUGCAAACACGAAAGUGGACGUAUAGGGUGUGACGCCUGCCCGGUGCCGGAAGGUUAAUUGAUGGGGUUAGCUAACGCGAAGCUCUUGAUCGAAGCCCGGUAAACGGCGGCCGUAACUAUAACGGUCCUAAGGUAGCGAAAUUCCUUGUCGGGUAAGUUCCGACCUGCACGAAUGGCGUAACGAUGGCGGCGCUGUCUCCACCCGAGACUCAGUGAAAUUGAAAUCGCUGUGAAGAUGCAGUGUAUCCGCGGCUAGACGGAAAGACCCGUGAACCUUUACUAUAGCUUUGCACUGGACUUUGAAUUUGCUUGUGUAGGAUAGGUGGGAGGCUUUGAAGCGUGGACGCCAGUUCGCGUGGAGCCAACCUUGAAAUACCACCCUGGCAACUUUGAGGUUCUAACUCAGGUCCGUUAUCCGGAUCGAGGACAGUGUAUGGUGGGUAGUUUGACUGGGGCGGUCUCCUCCUAAAGAGUAACGGAGGAGUACGAAGGUGCGCUCAGACCGGUCGGAAAUCGGUCGUAGAGUAUAAAGGCAAAAGCGCGCUUGACUGCGAGACAGACACGUCGAGCAGGUACGAAAGUAGGUCUUAGUGAUCCGGUGGUUCUGUAUGGAAGGGCCAUCGCUCAACGGAUAAAAGGUACUCCGGGGAUAACAGGCUGAUACCGCCCAAGAGUUCAUAUCGACGGCGGUGUUUGGCACCUCGAUGUCGGCUCAUCACAUCCUGGGCUGAAGCCGGUCCCAAGGGUAUGGCUGUUCGCCAUUUAAAGUGGUACGCGAGCUGGGUUUAGAACGUCGUGAGACAGUUCGGUCCCUAUCUGCCGUGGACGUUUGAGAUUUGAGAGGGGCUGCUCCUAGUACGAGAGGACCGGAGUGGACGAACCUCUGGUGUUCCGGUUGUCACGCCAGUGGCAUUGCCGGGUAGCUAUGUUCGGAAUAGAUAACCGCUGAAAGCAUCUAAGCGGGAAACUAGCCUCAAGAUGAGAUCUCACUGGAACCUUGAGUUCCCUGAAGGGCCGUCGAAGACUACGACGUUGAUAGGUUGGGUGUGUAAGCGCUGUGAGGCGUUGAGCUAACCAAUACUAAUUGCCCGUGAGGCUUGACCAUAUAACACCCAAGCAAUU
rnacentral:rRNA from 1 species